rnacentral:rRNA from 1 species
GAGGAAGUAAAAGUCGUAACAAGGUCUCCGUUGGUGAACCAGCGGAGGGAUCAUUACAGAGUUAUCCAACUCCCAAACCCAUGUGAACUUAUCUCUUUGUUGCCUCGGCGCAAGCUACCCGGGACCUCGCGCCCCGGGCGGCCCGCCGGCGGACAAACCAAAACUCUUGUUAUCUUAGUUGAUUAUCUGAGUGUCUUAUUUAAUAAGUCAAAACUUUCAACAACGGAUCUCUUGGUUCUGGCAUCGAUGAAGAACGCAGCGAAAUGCGAUAAGUAAUGUGAAUUGCAGAAUUCAGUGAAUCAUCGAAUCUUUGAACGCACAUUGCGCCCAUUAGUAUUCUAGUGGGCAUGCCUGUUCGAGCGUCAUUUCAACCCCUAAGCACAGCUUAUUGUUGGGAACCUACGGCUUCGUAGUUCCUCAAAGACAUUUGGCGGAGUGGCAGUGGUCCUCUGAGCGUAGUAAUCUUUUAUCUCGCUUCUGUUAGGUGCUGCCCCCCCGGCCGUAAAACCCCCAAUUUUUUCUGGUUGACCUCGGAUCAGGUAGGAAACCCGCUGAACUUAAGCAUAUCAAUAAGCGGAGGAAAAGG